rnacentral:rRNA from 1 species
GACGAACGUUGGCGGCGUGCUUAAUACAUGCAAGUCCACUGAAGCAGUGGUAGCAAUAUCGCUGUGGAGGUGGCGCACGGGUGAGUAACACGUAGGUAAUCUGCCUUCAGGUCUGGCAUAACUCCGGGAAACCGGGGCUAAUAGCAGAUGAUGCAGCGGCUCGACAUCGAGACAGUUGUUAAAGCUAUGGCGCCUGAAGAUGAGCCUGCGUCUGAUUAGCUAGUUGGCGGGGUAACGGCCCACCAAGGCAACGAUCAGUAGCUGGUCUGAGAGGAUGAUCAGCCACACUGGAACUGAGACACGGGCCAGACUCCUACGGGAGGCAGCAGUAAGGAAUAUUGCUCAAUGGGAGAAAUCCUGAAGCAGCAACGCCGCGUGAGGGACGAAGGGCUUUUGCUUGUAAACCUCUGUAGUGAGAGAAAAAAAUCCCAAUCUUUGGGACAUGAUGGUAUCUCAAAAGUAAGCCCCGGCUAACUACGUG